AAUCAACGCUGGCGGCGUGCCUAACACAUGCAAGUCGAACGCGAAAACCCCGCAAGGGGUUAGUAGAGUGGCAAACGGGUGAGUAACGCGUGGGUGACCUGCCUUCGAGCGGGGGAUAACGUUUCGAAAGGAACGCUAAUACCGCAUAACAUCCCGCCCUUGAACGGGUGGAGAUCAAAGCUGGGGAUCGCAAGACCCGGCACUUGAAGAGGGGCCCGCGUCUGAUUAGCUAGUUGGUGGGGUAACGCUCACCAAGGCAACGAUCAGUAUCCGGCCUGAGAGGGCGGACGGACACACUGGGACUGAGACACGGCCCAGACUCCUACGGGAGGCAGCAGUGGGGAAUUGUUCGCAAUGGGCGCAAGCCUGACGACGCAACGCCGCGUGGAGGAUGAAGAUUUUCGGAUCGUAAACUCCUGUCGAAUGGGACGAAAAGAUUGCGGGUUAACAGCCCGUGGUCCUGAC
rnacentral:rRNA from 1 species